UCAUAUCACCAGCACUAAAAUAUUCUCACUAUUGAUGCGAGCUUAAUCUUUUUUGGAGAAAUUAUUGUAUGCAUGACUAUGUUAGAAAGAAACACUUCUCAUGUUUUAUACUUAAAUCUAUCUCAAAUUUGAAAGAAUUCAAUAUUUUUUAGUCUUGUUUAAAUCUGAUCUAGGUUGGAAGAACAAUAGCAAAGAGAAGUAUAGAUCUAGAGGAGGAAGGUAACAAGAAAGAGGGAACAAGGGAGGAAGAAGUCUUGGAGUUGCGGUAUGGUAACCUCUAAAGGAGAAAAAAGGAAGGAUGGAGUAUGAGGUAGGUGAAGAUCUAGGGUUUCAAAGAAAGGAUAGAGGAGUAAUAUUACGAGAUGUAAUCAACAUGGUAGAGGGGGAGGGAAA
rnacentral:lncRNA from 1 species